CAGCUCUAGUGGUAGCAAUUUUAUUGGGCCUAAAGCGUCCGUAGCCGGUUUAAUAAGUCUCUGGUGAAAUCCUGCAGCUUAACUGUGGGAAUUGCUGGAGAUACUAUUAGACUUGAGACCGGGAGAGGUUAGAGGUACUCCCAGGGUAGAGGUGAAAUUCUGUAAUCCUGGGAGGACCGCCUGUUGCGAAGGCGUCUAACUGGAACGGUUCUGACGGUGAGGGACGAAAGUUAGGGGCGCGAACCGGAUUAGAUACCCGGGUAGUCCUAACUGUAAACGAUGCGGACUUGGUGUUGGGGUGGCUUUGAGCUGCUUCAGUGCCGAAGGGAAGCUGUUAAGUCCGCCGCCUGGGAAGUACGGUCGCAAGACUGAAACUUAAAGGAAUUGGCGGGGGAGCGCCACAACGCGUGGAGCCUGCGGUUUUAAAUUGGAUUCAACGCCGGACAUCUCACCAGAGGCGACAGCUGUAUGAUAGCCAGGUUGAUGACUUUGCUUGACUAGCUGAGAGGAGAGGUGCAUGG
rnacentral:rRNA from 1 species